rnacentral:rRNA from 1 species
UACGAAGGGUGCGAGCGUUGUUCGGAAUUAUUGGGCGUAAAGGGUUUGUAGGCUGAAAUGUAAGUCAAGUGUGAAAUCCCCGAGCUAAACUUGGGACGUGCACUUGAAACUGUGUUUCUUGAGUAUCGUAGAGGGUGGUGGAAUUGUAGGUGUAGGAGUGACAUCCGUAGAGAUCUGCAGGAACAUCAGAGGCGAAGGCGACCACCUGGCCGAUUACUGACGCUGAGGAACGAAAGCGUGGGGAGCGAACAGG